rnacentral:rRNA from 1 species
GAUGAACGCUGGCGGCGUGCUUAACACAUGCAAGUCGAACGAUGAAGCCCAGCUUGCUGGGUGGAAGAGUGGCGAACGGGUGAGUAACACGUGAGUAACCUGCCCCUGACUCUGGGAUAAGCGCUAGAAAUGGCGUCUAAUACUGGAUAUGACCUAUCACCGCAUGGUGUGUAGGUGGAAAGAUUUAUCGGUUGGGGAUGGACUCGCGGCCUAUCAGCUUGUUGGUGAGGUAAUGGCUCACCAAGGCGACGACGGGUAGCCGGCCUGAGAGGGUGACCGGCCACACUGGGACUGAGACACGGCCCAGACUCCUACGGGAGGCAGCAGUGGGGAAUAUUGCACAAUGGGCGCAAGCCUGAUGCAGCAACGCCGCGUGAGGGAUGACGGCCUUCGGGUUGUAAACCUCUUUUAGUAGGGAAGAAGCGCAAGUGACGGUACCUGCAGAAAAAGCACCGGCUAACUACGUGCCAGCCGCCGCCGUAA